rnacentral:misc_RNA from 1 species
GUCUGUGAUUUAUCUGUGUUAUUUAAAACAUGUACUUGUACUAUGUUUUGAACAUUUGUUUUGUGUUAUGCGAGUUAGAUUGUCGUGUUGUUUUGACAAUGUUGACGCAAAGUGAACAGAAAAUACAAUGACGUCACAUUGAGUCGGUGCAUCGUUGCAGCCAUUGAUCGUCAUGAAAUUCAUACACUAACAUCAUGUUGUACAUGUACAGAUUCACGUCUUUAUCUGCUAGUUUUUGUUCACAGUGGUUGUCAAGUAGCGCAUGCAGUAUUGUAUGAUUAUUGUAACAAUUUUUCUUGAAAAGAAAAAUGUUCAUUUUUUGUUUUUAUGUUUUGCAAGAAAAUGAUCACUGAACUCUUUUUUGUCUUAAUUUAAGCUAAACUAGUCCCUGUAAAUUUUUUAGCGUGUCAGAGGAGCAAGCCGGUCAUCUGGACUGGAAUAAUGUUUUUUUAUAUUUUAUAAACAAAAAUGAUUUUGCUGUAUGUUCAUCGCAGAGAUACUACAUUAUGCAUAACCCAUUUCAAAAUAAAUAUGUGAAAAGGU